UACAGAGGGUGCGAGCGUUAAUCGGAAUUACUGGGCGUAAAGCGUGCGUAGACGGUAGCGUAAGUCAGAUGUGAAAGCCCCGGGCUCAACCUGGGAACUGCAUUUGAGACUGCUCUGCUCGGGUGCGGAAGAGGGAAGCGGAAUUUCCGGUGUAGCGGUGAAAUGCGCAGAUAUCAGGAGGAACACCGGUGGCGAAGGCGGGUCUCUGGGCCGAUACUGACGCUGAGGAGCGAAAGCGUGGGGAGCGAACAGG
rnacentral:rRNA from 1 species